rnacentral:lncRNA from 1 species
UUUCCUUUCCUUUCCUUUCCUUUCCUUUCCUUUCCUUUCCUUUCCUUUCCUUUCCUUUCCUUCCUUCUUUUAUUUAUUUUUAUUCAGUAUUUAUUUGUACUACAAAAUGAAUAUACUCAUCCUGGGAAGUUGACACACACGCAUGUACAUUUUAGUCCUUUCCACUUUCAUCCCUCCCCUGCCCCUUCAUCUUUACAUCUCCUUUCCAUUUCCAAAAGAUCUAACUUCCUGUUUCCUAUUAUCUGUCUUUUAUUUUGCUCUUUAAUUUAUUUACUCUUGGAUUCUCAUAUAAACACAACAAUGUGAUAUUUAACAUUCUCGGUCUGAUGUAUUUCUCUUAGAAUUGUGGUCUCAAUGUGCAUCAAUUUCCUAAAAAUGACUGAAAUUUAUCUUUCUGUUAGGCAGUGUAGUACUCAGCUGUUGAUGGAUAUACAGGCUCUUUCUUUAGCUCUUGUGAGUUGUGCUGCUAUAACCAUGGGCGUGCAUGUAUUGCCGUACUAUGCCUUUGAGGAAAGUAGCUAGAAGAGGUGUAGCUGGGAGAAUGGAAUUUCUAUGCUGUGUCAUUCUGAAAGGUCCUGCUGAUUUCUUCUCCUUCUCCUGUAAUUUAUUUGCCAGGCUGCCCUUAGGCUGAAUUCACAAUAACCUCAAUCUGAUUAUCCAUUUGUUUAUCCUUCCAUUUUUAGCUACUACGUCCUUUGGGUUAAUGAUCAAAUCCUUUAAAACAGGCUUAAAACUGUCUUAUCAUCCAGUCAUUGCUUACUCAUUCAUUUUUUCAUCUCACCCAAACAUGUCUCCAUACACCGGGAGCCAAGAAUACUUACUUCAAAGACACAGGAAAUUUACAUAAAUGAGAAAAGAAUAUGGAAGAGAUCAAAAGUAACAGUCUCUUCAGGCUAUCGGCCCAAAAUAAAGCCCCAGGAGACCCUCCCUGCACAGGUGGCAUAUCAGCUGUGUCUGGUACUGAUUCAGGUGGUAGAAUCAUUAGAAGUCUUUAAAGCGAAUCAGAAUAUGAAAUAUGGAACUUCGGCUCUUCAGAAAACACCAGAAGCAAGACAGCUACAUCGAUCUUCUCUCAUCCUUCUACCCUGAAGCUGGUCUUAAAACCUCAUUUGAUGGUUGCCUUUCCACACCUGGAAGAAAGAAGCUGAAGACACAGACACACCCAGGACAAUCCUAACAAACAAACGUUGCUAAAUUAUGACACACUUGAGCUUUUCAGUCAGAUUUCUCCCCACUCGGCCACUGUUUGUUAAAUCUAAGCCUAAAAAUACAGAAAAUUAGCAACUUAUUUGGAUUUCUGUUUCCUUAUGAAGUAUACUGUAUGUCCUAAAACGUCAAUAAAUGAAUUUGCUUUUGUUUGCUAAUUUGCCUUUUGUUUACAGGGCCCAGAGCCUGUAUGUAGCCAUGGUGAGGAAAAGUAAUCUCUCAUACUCUCAACUCUAUAUUUAAGCUAAAUAACACCUCCUUAUCUCCCAUUUUAAUAAAGUACGUAGAAUCUAACUUUAUUUCUAGUCAGUGCACAGAAAGUCAAUGUGUC